rnacentral:rRNA from 1 species
ACUAGGCCAUUUUAGACGUUGUAGCAAUACAAGGCGGACGGCUCAGUAACACGUAGUCAACCUAACCUAUGGACGUGGAUAACCUCGGGAAACUGAGAAUAAACCGCGAUAGAUCAUUAUGCCUGGAAUGGCUUAUGGUUCAAACAAUUUAUUGCCGUAGGAUGGGACUGCGGCCUAUCAGCUUGUUGGUGAGGUAAUGGCCCACCAAGGCUAUAACAGGUACGGGCUCUGAGAGGAGAAGCCCGGAGAUGGGUACUGAGACACGGACCCAGGCCCUAUGGGGCGCAGCAGGCGAGAAACCUUAGCAAUGUGCGAAAGCACGACUAGGUUAAUCCGAGUGAUUUCUGUUGAAGAAAUCUUUUGUCAGUCGUAAAACCACAGACGAAUAAGGGGUGGGCAAGUCUGGUGUCAGCCGCCGCGGUAAUACCAGCACCUCGAGUGGUCAGGAGGUUUAUUGGGCCUAAAGCAUCCGUAGCCGGCUACGCAAGUCUCCGGUUAAAUCCAGCUGCUCAACAGAUGGGCUGCCGGAGAUACUACAUAGCUAGGGAGCGGGAGAGGUAGACGGUAUUCUGUGGGUAGGGGUAAAAUCCACUGAUCCAUAGAGGACCACCAGUGGCGAAGGCGGUCUACCAGAACGCGUUCGACGGUGAGGGAUGAAAGCUGGGGGAGCAAACCGGAUUAGAUACCCGGGUAGUCCCAGCUGUAAACGAUGCAAACUCGGUGAUGCAUUGGCUUAUGGCCAAUGCAGUGCCCGCAAGGGAAACCCGUUAUAUUUGCCCCCUGGGAAAAUACGGGACGCCAGUCUGGAAACUUAAAGGGAAUUUGCCGGGUGAGUAAUAUAGGCCAAAUUCCACCCCACUUGGUCGGCCGGUUCCUUUGGGGAUCCCA